GAUGGACGCUGGCGGCGUGCCUAAUACAUGCAAGUCGAACGAAACUUCUUUAUCACCGAGUGCUUGCACUCACCGAUAAAGAGUUGAGUGGCGAACGGGUGAGUAACACGUGGGCAACCUGCCCAAAAGAGGGGGAUAACACUUGGAAACAGGUGCUAAUACCGCAUAACCAUAGUUACCGCAUGGUAACUAUGUAAAAGGUGGCUAUACUACCGCUUUUGGAUGGGCCCGCGGCGCAUUAGCUAGUUGGUAGGGUAAAGGCUUACCAAGGCAAUGAUGCGUAGCCGAAGUGAGAGGUUGAUCGGCCACAUUGGGACUGAGACACGGCCCAAACUCCUACGGGAGGCAGCAGUAGGGAAUCUUCCACAAUGGGCGAAAGCCUGAUGGAGCAACGCCGCGUGGAUGAAGAAGGUCUUCGGAUCGUAAAACCCUGUUGUUAGAGAAGAAAGUGCGUGAGAGUAACUGUUCACGUUUCGACGGUAUCUAACCAGAAAGCCACUGCUAACUACGUG
rnacentral:rRNA from 1 species